GGAGUCUGGGCCGUGUCUCAGUCCCAAUGUGGCCGUCCGCCCUCUCAGGCCGGCUACUGAUCGUUGCUUUGGUGGGCCGUUACCCCGCCAACUGGCUAAUCAGACGCGGAUCCAUCUUUCACCGAUAAAUCUUUCCUCAUAUCACCAUGCGGUGACACGAGCGUAUGCGGUAUUACCAGCCGUUUCCAGCUGCUAUCCCCCUCGUGAAAGGCAGGUUAUCCACGCGUUACUCACCCGUCCGCCACUAAACUUAAAAUUACAGACCGAAAUCGUCAUAAUAAGUCCCGUUCGACUUGCAUGUGUUAGGCACGCCGCCAGCGUUCAUCCUCGAGCCAUGAUCAAACUACU
rnacentral:rRNA from 1 species